GCACUGGAUUCAGAAGCACAUAUAGUAAAAUUGGAACAAUACAGAGAAGAUUAGCAUGGCACCUGCACAAGGAUGACAGAAAAAUUCAUGAAGAGUUUCAUACAUUU
ensembl:snRNA U6 U6 spliceosomal RNA